rnacentral:sRNA from 1 species
UCAUAGCCCUGAUAAAUGCAAUAUAUUUUUGUGGCUUUUUAGCAAGGAAAAAAAUAUAGCGGAUAUCGGGAUUAGCU